GGCAGAGAGUGAUGGGCGCCGUCAUUUGAAAGAAAACAUUUGCAGUCGCUGCUAAAAGUGUUCUGGUUUCAGAUCCCGUAAUGAAUAGUUCAGUCAAAAGAACAGUCCUUAAUACGUUUCAGCCCGGUAGAGUAAACUGUGGAAACUGAAAAAAAAUAAAAAAAUAAAAUUGCAGCUCUGAACCUCAGCUGCAGCAAGAGCUCAGCAUUGUGUGUGCAGCCCAUAUGCUGCUGCCAGCCGGCUUCUGCAUCAGGAAUCCAGGAGAGCAUCGCUUUGGAGGCUUGCAGGCUGGCUGCAAUAAUAAUAAUAUGGCUUUAUUGCUGUUGUUUCAGGAAGGAAGUGGUCUUCUGAAGAUGCAGAGAGGAAACCUUUACCUGCAGGGAGGUCAGCAUGAAUCUAAAGCUGUGAAGAUCAGAAGGGUCCCAGGGAGAGAGAGAAGAACGCCCUGCUGGGGAGGGGGCAGCCCUCAGACACAUCUGCUGGAGUUGUUACGUGAGGAAAACAAGCUUCUCGCACUUGCACAACCUUUUUCAGCAAGUGCAUGCAAAGGCACUUGCUAGCUGGAGUGGGAUGCCUGCUGUUAAUGUGUCUUUAAUUGAGAGGAAGAAAAAUUCCUGAGAGACUCCAUGGAACAAUGAAACACCUACAGCGAAGAGCAUCAUGUACAUCCUUACUCUGUGUGCACUAAAUGUUAUUUCUUGCAUUAGGACCUGCAGAUACAGGGCAUACAUACCAAAUAUGUACAUAGAUAAAUAUAUUGCAUCUUCUUUUAGUUUAGUUGCUUAGGUUAGCUGCAGGCUGACAUAUGAUAGAGUUCACGUUUAAAUCUUCAGAGUAAAACACUUUGAGAGCAAACCUAUUAAGGUUAAUAGAAUGAACUUGCAAUGCCCAUGGUUAAGAAGGAGGGGGGAGUGAGACACUCAGUAAAUUGUUCACCAAAUGGCCUGUCACCUCUAGGUCUGCAGCUGAAGGCCUACCGAUGGAUCAUUCUAUUAUCUUUAAUGAGCUUAAUUUUAAAGUGGUAUGCACAUCAAAUUCAAAAUACCAGCAUCAGUUUUGUUAUCUGUGGUCCUACAUCUACCUUAAGUAUGUUAAUAAAUAAUAUGUGCAGUCUAAGAAAAGUGCA
rnacentral:lncRNA from 1 species